CAGUCGCCGCGGGAAUACGUAGGGUGCAAGCGUUAAUCGGAUUUACUGGGCGUAAAGCGUGCGUAGGCGGCUUCUUAAGUCGGAUGUGAAAUCCCUGAGCUUAACUUAGGAAUUGCAUUCGAUACUGGGAAGCUAGAGUAUGGGAGAGGAUGGUAGAAUUCCAGGUGUAGCGGUGAAAUGCGUAGAGAUCUGGAGGAAUACCGAUGGCGAAGGCAGCCAUCUGGCCUAAUACUGACGCUGAGGUACGAAAGCAUGGGGAGCAAACAGGAUUAGAUACCCCAGUAGUCCCUGUCUCUUAUAC
rnacentral:rRNA from 1 species